GAGCAACGCCGCGUGAGUGAAGAAGGCUUUCGGGUCGUAAAACUCUGUUGUUGGAGAAGAAUGGUCGGCAGAGUAACUGUUGUCGGCGUGACGGUAUCCAACCAGAAAGCCACGGCUAACUACGUGCCAGCAGCCGCGGUAAUACGUAGGUGGCAAGCGUUAUCCGGAUUUAUUGGGCGUAAAGCGAGCACAGGCGGUUUUUUAAGUCUGAUGUGAAAGCCCUCGGCUUAACCGAGGAAGUGCGUCGGAAACUGGGAAACUUGAGUGCAGAAGAGGACAGUGGAACUCCAUGUGUAGCGGUGAAAUGCGUAGAUAUAUGGAAGAACACCAGUGGCGAAGGCGGCUGUCUGGUCUGUAACUGACGCUGAGGCUCGAAAGCAUGGGUAGCGAACAGGAUUAGAUACCCUGGUAGUCCAUGCCGUAAGCGAUGAAUGCUAGGUGUUGGAGGGUUUCCGCCCUUCAGUGCCGCAGCUAACGCAUUAAGCAUCCCGCCUGGGGAGUACGACCGCAAGGUUGAAACUCAAAGGAAUUGACGGGGGCCCGCACAAGCGGUGGAGCAUGUGGUUUAAUGCGAAGCAACGCGAAGAACCUUACCAGGUCUUGACAUCUUUUGAUCACCGAGAGAUCAGGUUUCC
rnacentral:rRNA from 2 species